GGUGCUGCAGCUGGUGUUGUGAAUCAGGCCGACGAGCAGCGCAUCUCUUACCCGGCGAUUUCACGACACAGGUGCAUCAUAC
rnacentral:pre_miRNA from 12 species